ACAGUCAGAGCGGACAGAAGGGAGCUUGCUCCCGGAUGUUAGCGGCGGACGGGUGAGUAACACGUGGGUAACCUGCCUGUAAGACUGGGAUAACUCCGGGAAACCGGAGCUAAUACCGGAUAGUUCCUUGAACCGCAUGGUUCAAGGAUGAAAGACGGUUUCGGCUGUCACUUACAGAUGGACCCGCGGCGCAUUAGCUAGUUGGUGGGGUAAUGGCUCACCAAGGCGACAAUGCGUAGCCAACCUGAGAGGGUGAUCGGCCACACUGGGACUGAGACACGGCCCAGACUCCUACGGGAGGCAGCAGUAGGGAAUCUUCCGCAAUGGACGAAAGUCUGACGGAGCAACGCCGCGUGAGUGAUGAAGGUUUUCGGAUCGUAAAGCUCUGUUGUUAGGGAAGAACAAGUGCGAGAGUAACUG
rnacentral:rRNA from 1 species